AAUAUAGCCUCCGUCGGCGAUGGUAGACGAAAUCCGAAGGCCUCCAACUCGAAUGCUCUGACCCAGACAUCCAAGGUGAGCCUCCAGUUCCUGCAAGGUACCUAAAGGUCAGGACAUACGCACAACACUUCAGUGGUGCAGUCUGGACAACAAGAAUAACCAGAAUUGUGUCACGCCACAUUCAGAUGAUGGUUCAGAUGCAGAUAAUGGCUGGUAAAGUGGACCACUUCUAUGUGAUCAAUAUGGAAACAAUAUGGUGCUUAUAAACAUUAUUAGCAAUUUUUUCAGGUAUAAGCAUUCGGCUGAACUUACCCUGAUGUGACUAUUUAAAACAUGCAGGCUCACCUGUUUAUGUCCUUAGCAUUGAAGGGUGGAGGCACGAAUACUUUGGAUCACAAGAGACAGCAUUGGAAUUAUGGAAUUUGAAUGGAUUGAGUACAUCAAGAUGAAGAAAUUAACGUAAUAAGCGAUAUUCUCAAAAGAUUCGGUCAUGCCAGAAACCUCAGUGUGCAUGGCACUAAAAAAGGGUACAAAGAACCUGAGAUGCAAGUAAUGGCUGAAUAGCCGGGGAAACACUAAAUAAAGACGUUAAUUCGCAUCAUCCUGUUGUGUAGGGGCCUCGCCGAUGAUCAAAGUCAGCUGCCAAGGUGGAUCAUUGGAGACCAGAAGUUGCAGUGUCAUCGGUGUUGUAUAGUAGCUUGGUUGACGACGGCCAAUGGAUUGUACAUAUUGGUUCAUUUUGUGUAUACAAUACAAGGUGCUCAUUGUAAAAAAAAUAUUCAUCCAUUUUUUGUGGGCAACAAAAAAUGAAUAUUUUUUGUUGGCCUAUGUUUUUUCAGAUAGAGGAGGCCUUUGUUAAUGGAUAUAGGAUUGGGCAACAUACACAUGGGUUCAGCCGGUAAAUCAAGGUUGAGAAGGUUGUAGCAUGUGCUGCUGCUUGCUUGUUGUGUGCGGGAUGUAUUGUUC
rnacentral:lncRNA from 1 species